UAUCAGUCAGGACACAGCAUGGACAUGAGAGCCACUGCUCAGCUCCUAGGGCUCCUGCUGCUCUGCCUCCCAGGUGCCACACGUGCCUUGGAGGUGACCCAGACUCCAACCACGGUGUCUGCAAAGGUGGGAGGCACAGUCACCAUCAAUUGCAAGACGAGUGAGAGUGUUUACAGCAAUCUAUCCUGGUAUCAGCAGAAACCAGGGCAACCUCCAAAGCUCCUGAUCUAUGAUGCAUCCAAUUUAGCCCCUGGGGUCGAUUCGAGGUUCAAGGGCAGUGGAUCUGGGACAUCAUUCACUCUCACCAUCAGCCCUGUGCAGGCUGCGGAUGCCGGAAUCUACUACUGUCAAGGGUAUUAUAGUGCUAGUACUGAUGAAGGCCGGCAGCGGCUCCCGAUGCCUUAGGGAAGCCUGUCUCCUUUCCUGCCACUCUCUGUUGUAUUUUCACUUUGUUCUCAUCAGAAUCACGCACAAUUUAGUUACCUCUGAUCGAGUUUACAAAAGUCUGCUGAACGGAGUGGUGUGACCUACAGCGCCUUGGAGUGUGACCUGUCAGGGGGCAAGUGUGGCACUUUUGCUAAGAUCAGGGGCUUGUUCAGAUCCUUGUUGGAGGAGGCAGUCGGCCGGAAGUACUUGCCAACGCUGCCAGAACACUUCUGUGAAAUGUGAAAUAGCUGUUUGUGUAAUCAUUUUCUUUUUGUUGUCAUUGAUUUGUUCUGUUCCUGUAUUAUGUGCAUGGUUUGGCAUCAGAAGUCAUCACUUCUCUGCGUUGUUUGGAGGUUGGAAUAAAGCAAUGUGGUGCCA